GAUGAACGCUGGCGGCGUGCCUAAUACAUGCAAGUCGAGCGAACGGACGAGAAGCUUGCUUCUCUGAUGUUAGCGGCGGACGGGUGAGUAACACGUGGAUAACCUACCUAUAAGACUGGGAUAACUUCGGGAAACCGUAGCUAGUACCGGAUAAUAUUUUGAACCGCAUGGUUCAAAAGUGAAAGACGGUCUUGCUGUCACUUAUAGAUGGAUCCGCGCUGCAUUAGCUAGUUGGUAAGGUAACGGCUUACCAAGGCAACGAUGCAUAGCCGACCUGAGAGGGUGAUCGGCCACACUGGAACUGAGACACGGUCCAGACUCCUACGGGAGGCAGCAGUAGGGAAUCUUCCGCAAUGGGCGAAAGCCUGACGGAGCAACGCCGCGUGAGUGAUGAAGGUCUUCGGAUCGUAAAACUCCGUUAUUAGGGAAGAACAUAUGUGUAAGUAACUGUGCACAUCCUGACGGUACCUAAUCAGAAAGCCACGGCUAACUACGUG
rnacentral:rRNA from 1 species